GAACAGAACACAAGUCACAACACAACAAACAUCAAGUUGAUAAUUUAAUCAAUAUGCCACUGGCAUUAAUAAAACCAGGCUGCUGAACCACUAGCUACUGGCCUUUGGCCAUACAAAUCUGCAAGGGUGACGGAACACAAAAUUAUUACCUGCUGAUAUUAACAUGUAAGUGGCAAUCAUAGGUGUAUUCUGUGUGAAGUUCAUACAGAAGAUCAACAGUUAUACCUCGACUUUUAUUGUCAAUUGUAUUGAGAAUUUUGAAAAUCCAUGCCAGAGAUCUUCGUACGAAGAUCUGGGUGGAAAUACUUAACCCUUUAAGUGGCAAUGCAUCCUACUUUAUUAUUUUACUCUGUCUAAUGCCAGACGAUUUACUCAUCAGGGGAAUGUGCUGCCACAGUGCCACUCAAUGAGUUAAGAGUAAGAUUGUCUGACAUUUGGGGGCAUUGCUAAUCAAUGGGUUAAAAUUCAAUUCAAAAUUUUAAAAAAAUUAAACAAAAAAAAAGUUUAAAAAAUUUAACACUGAGAGCAAAAAAAUAAACAAUAUUAAAAAAAUUUAACACUGAGAGCACGAAUUUAUAAACCUUUCCCUAGAUGUAUACACAGUGGCAUCAUUCUAGUUUUAAUAUUUUGCAAUGCAAAUGUGUCUUGAAUAUCAUUACUUCCAAACAAUAGUUUAUAGGUCUUUUUACAUUUGUCUCUUAGUAAAGUUGUACAUGUUCCAUCAGUGUAUUCUCUAGACAGCAGUAAACACAAUCUUUUGCAAUCUUUUCCAUCAGUGUAUUCUCUAGACAGCAGUAAACACAAUCUUUGUGACAACAACUUCGACUUUCUUCUUAUACACGUUUUCAACAUGAUUGAAACCUUUGUCUCACUUGUUAAGACCAACGGUAAUAAUAAACCAGCUUCGCCAAAUAUCCCGCACUCCUGACAGCUGACAUUCGUCAAAAUUUUCCGCCUUUUUGCUUGCUUAUUUUACUACAAACGCAUCUAAAACUAAGCAGUAUCCCCCUAUAUUUGUUAUUUUAUCCAUCUGAAGCCAAUCGGCAC